rnacentral:rRNA from 1 species
GACGAACGCUGGCGGUGUGCUUAACACAUGCAAGUGGAGCGACGGACCAGGGCUUGCCCUGGGGCAGAGCCGCGAACGGGUGAGUAACACGUGGGUAACCUACCCCGAUGACCGGGACAACCCGAGGAAACUCGGGCUAAUACCGGAUGUGUCCCAUCUUCACGAGAGGAUGGAGCAAAGGAAGCUUCGGCCUCCGCAUUGGGAGGGGCCCGCGGCCCAUUAGCUAGUUGGUGGGGUAAUGGCCUACCAAGGCAGCGAUGGGUAGCUGGUCUGAGAGGACGAUCAGCCACACUGGGACUGAGACACGGCCCAGACUCCUACGGGAGGCAGCAGUGGGGAAUCUUGCGCAAUGCGCGAAAGCGUGACGCAGCAACACCGCGUGAGGGAAGACGGCCU